rnacentral:tRNA from 1 species
GGAAGGGUGGCUGAGUGGUUGAAGGCACCUGACUCGAAAUCAGGCGUAGGGGUAACCCUACCGUGGGUUCGAAUCCCACCCCUUCCGCCA